CAGUAGCUAAGCGGAUAACGCGAUGGCGUUUGGAGCAAAAGGUACUGGGUUCGAGUCCCAGAGUGAA
rnacentral:tRNA from 1 species